rnacentral:rRNA from 1 species
AGUGGACGCUGGCGGUAGGCCUAACACAUGCAAGUCGAACGGCAGCACAGAGGAGCUUGCUCCUUGGGUGGCGAGUGGCGGACGGGUGAGGAAUACAUCGGAAUCUACUCUGUCGUGGGGGAUAACGUAGGGAAACUUACGCUAAUACCGCAUACGACCUACGGGUGAAAGCAGGGGAUCUUCGGACCUUGCGCGAUUGAAUGAGCCGAUGUCGGAUUAGCUAGUUGGCGGGGUAAAGGCCCACCAAGGCGACGAUCCGUAGCUGGUCUGAGAGGAGGAUCAGCCACACUGGAACUGAGACACGGUCCAGACUCCUACGGGAGGCAGCAGUGGGGAAUAUUGGACAAUGGGCGCAAGCCUGAUCCAGCCAUACCGCGUGGGUGAAGAAGGCCUUCGGGUUGUAAAGCCCUUUUGUUGGGAAAGAAAUCCAUCUGGUUAAUACCCGGGUGGGAUGACGGUACCCAAAGAAUAAGCACCGGCUAACUUCGUGCCAGCCGCCGCGGUAA